rnacentral:rRNA from 1 species
AUGAUGCUAAUGAUAUGCAAAGCCACAUGCUUGGGGAAGCUUUGUGUGAUGAAUAUGAUAUUUUUUUGUCCCCCAAGCUUUGAUGAGCAAAUUUACUAUGAUGAAAGCAUGCCUCCUAUCUAUGAUGAUUAUUGUGAUGACAUGUAUGCUUUAAAGAAUAAUUAUAACCAAGAAACUUGUCAUCUUGACCUUAAUUUUCAAUCUUAUGAUAGUCAUUUUGUUGAGUUUGCUCGCACUACUAUUGAUGAGAAGAAUUUUUCUUAUGUGGAGAGUAGUAAAUUUUCUAUGCAAGUAGAUCAUGAAAAGAAUGCUUUAGGUGCUGGUUAUAUUGUUGAAUUCAUUCAUGAUGCUACUGAAAAUUAUUAUGAGGGAGGAAUAUAUGCUUGUAGGAAUUGCAAUAAUAUCAAGUUUCCUCUCUAUGUGCUUAAAGUUUUAAAGUUAUGCUAG